ensembl:lncRNA
GGAUCCUAUUACUGGUAUAUGUACAAACUAACAAACGUUGUAUUAAUGCUAUCAGUAGACUGGUAUUCUGUGACGCUAAAAGGCUCUAUGAUAUCGUAACACCUCAAAACUCCUUCCUGCUACUGAAUCAGUGGGGGGGAGGGAAUAAAACGCGACACCUCAACUCCUUCCUGCUACUGAAUCAGUGGGGGAGGGAAUAAAACGCGACACCUCAAAACUCCUUCCUGCUACUGAAUCAUGGGGGGGGAGGGAAUACAACGCGACACCUUAAAACUCCUUCCUGCUACUGAAUCAGUGGGGGAGGGAAUACAACGCGACACCUCAAAACUCCUUCCUGCUACUGAAUCAGUGGGGUGGGGGAGGGAAUACAACGCGACACCUCAAAACUCCUUCCUGCUACUGAAUCAGUGGGGGGAGGAAUACAACGCGACACCUCAAAACUCCUUCCUGCUACUGAAUCAGUGGGGGAAGGAAUACAACGCGACACCUCAAAACUCCUUCCCGCUACUGAAUCAG